UGUGUCCUAAAGAGAAGUGUAACCCACAUAAAAUGAGGGUACCACUUUAAGGACUGAUAUGAGGAGAGAUGGACAGCCUGCCCAACCAAUCGAAAUGCACAGGUCCCAGUAUGUUUUGACCAAAGGGAGAGCAGUCUGCUGCGGUAUGUCCCACCUACGUGCUCUGUGUUUGCUGCUAUGUGUGGAGGUAGUCGCGUGCUGGCAGGAGAAAAGAGAGACUGAAGCAUUUGAGCUGGAAAAAAGUAUUAGAUAUAAGUUGCAACCAACUGUGUUGCACAUAAGUUCACUGGUUAUCAGCUACCUUUCAUGUUAGAAGUAGCCGCAGUGAGUAAACAGGCAAAUGCUGCAUUUUUCUGGUGACUUUAGAAAGUACCGCAUGGAGCUAAACUGUUAGCCUUUGUUAGCUCUGGUUGCUAUCAACUGCCUGGAAGUUCAUCUCAAUCUGCUUCCAGAAGUAAGAGCCCUGCAUUUUCCGACCGAGAGACACCAUGCCAUUGUCUUCGGCCGUGAUGCGCUGAGAUCGGUCAGGUUUUUUUUUGUAUGCUGAAUUGUUCCUGAGGUGGAUUCCUCCGGUGAAAUAGAUGGCGAGCCUUCCCACCUGGACUUAGAGAGACUGAGAUUCGCUUCUUUUCCACUUGAUGAUCUGCUGCACCUUGCGGUGUGGUAGGACUGUAUCACUCACACUUUCACGCACAGCUGGUUAUACAUAAGACCACUGACUGACAUUCUCUCAUCCCUAUUUUCUUUCACACCCUGGGAAUUUUUUGGACUUUACCCCUUGGACAUUUUUUAUUUGGGACUUUAAAUAAUGAGCUGUUGUGUAGAGCAUUCUCCACAUGUGAAAAGAGUGUGAGAUUUUCAUUUGAAUGUACAUUGGAUUUGUGUAAUCUGUUUCUAUAAGAGUUAAGGAGUCAGGUUACUAGGGUGCACCCGAGCAUUGAAACCCGAACAUUGAAAACCAAAAAUAACACUUGGCCAAGUCAUUGCUUUAGUAGUUUGUGUUUUACUUUUCUUUUAAUUUUUGUAAGUUUUCUUUCUACCAUUGUAAAGUGUCGUUAACCUGUGCUUGUCAACCUUAUGGUUUAUGUCACUAAAGUUGGCUGUUUCUUUUGAGUUACAUUCUUGUCUCUGUGUCUCAUUUGAACACACCCCUGUGCUCCUAUAGUCGAGCCUAUUGGCCCAUUGAUCUAUUCUUUUCAACAAUUCCCCUUACUGUGUUACAGAAGCAGGAAUGACUGGCCAGUAGUCUGUGUAAUGAACAGACCACGAAGGUACAACAGUGCCUUAGAGGAGUGGUUUUCAAAUAUGAAGGGAUUCAAAUCUCAUAGAAAAAAUAAUUUUUUGCCAAAUUUUUCCUUUUCUGUGUGGAUAAUACGUAGGGCUUGCAUGAUUUUUAAAAAAAAAAGAGAGGCCUCAGUCUGCAGAGAUGCAGUUGAAUAAUAAAGUAUGAAUAGUUUGAGCAAGGGGGAAAAUCAUGUGAAACUAUGGCUCAUGUGAAACUGGGGAUAGACAACAUAGGAAGAGAGGCGCCAGAAUGUGUCCAUAUGUAUCUGCACUGUGACCGCUUUCUGACCUGGCCUUAAGCAGGAAACAGGGAAAUAAACAGGACAAUGUGACAUUUUUCAUUUCUGAGAAUAGCAGGAGGAAUGUGGAGCCAGGAUAUAUGUAGGUAAGAGACAAGACAGCUGCACAUACCAAUGGUCAUAGGAUAGUGUGUAUGGAUUCAGUGAUAUAGUCACAUGUGGGGGUCAGGUCAAAGGUGUUCUAAAUGUAUUGUGGGCUUAGAGUAUAAAUGUAACAGACUGAAGGAGCGUCCUUCAGAUCUGCAGGAGCACUGUGCACAUCUCCCCAUGUGCAUGUGUAAAUAAGGAGGAACAUGGGAAGUGAAGUAUUCUGUCUCGUGUCUUACCAGGUCAGAAUCAAAGGAUCGGGAGCAACAGCUGGUCGCAACAGUCUGUUUAACCACGUACAACCUUUUGAUUUUGCACCUAAACAAAUAAAAGAACGGGUGCUAUUGUAUACCUUUUACAGGUUUUGAACAAGUAUGUGCCUCUUUGGUCCUCAGAAGGUACAAAUCAAUUCAGUUCAGAAUCAGAAACCUUUAUUGUCAUUGAGCAUCAGCUGUUAGAAGCAGCUCUUGGUAGCAGCAUUUAUAAUACAUAACAAUAAAACCAAUAAAUAGGUAACAAUAAAAACAAAUUUAAAGAAUACAAACUAUCUAAUCAAUAAAUUCAAUUUUAUUUAUAUGGAGCCAA